GGCCUUCUCAAUCCCUCCUCAACUCCCUCAUAACACUACCUUUCUCUCUCUCUCUCUCUUGAGUAUGUUGUAAUCCCUCCUCAAAUCACUCACCAACUCUCCCUUAAUCCGAGCUCAAUCCCUCUUAUCCUCGUGGUUUUGCUUCCUCUUUCACCAUUUGGAGGUUGGUUUUUGUCCUUCAUCGUUUCAGAGGUUGGUUUUUGUCUUUCCCCCUUUUGAAGGUUUGUUUUCGUCUUUCCCUAUUCACCGUCUCAAUCGGUCUUCAAUUCCCCCGUGUCCAAGGUUGGCUUUCUCCAUUUGUUUUUGCGUCUUCCAACCCUUCAUCCUUGUCGUUGACGAAUUCCCUUCUUUUUUUCCCCAAUCAUAGAUCUGAGAUAGGUUUGUGUUUCGUUGAUGGAAGCAUUUUAUUGUGUUGCCUCUAAAAUGCUUUAUCGUCCAUUUAUGAGUUUCGUUAACUGGCUUCAAUUCCACGAUUGAGGCCUCUGAAACCAUUUAUGGGACUAACUCUGGUUCGUUGCAUGGUUGGCCUUCUAGUCUUGCCGCUCAGACUUCUCCUUGCCACUCAGACUUCCCCUUUAUUGAGAAUUGACAGAUGCUACAUCUUGAGUAGUAGUGGGUCAUUUCGAACAAGUGAAGAAGAUGAAGCAAAAGACAGAUGAGACAAACGAAGGAAUAUCACAAGCAAUCAAGCAUUAUUUUGUAGAAUGAUUAUGCAGUAGUUCAACUUCAAGUCAUUAGGUACAUCCAAGAAUGCUUUCAUGUCGUCGACACUGUGCAUCAGUAUCCUCAUACAGUGCACCCUGUCGAAUCUACUCAGUUUAGGGAUUCCCUACAAGUGUCUAACAACUUCUGCAUGGGUUAUGCUUGCAUCUUGGCACUGUACAUUUAACCAUUAUUCCGCAAUGGCCUUCAACUGGUCAUUCGCAAAUUUCAUGAUACUACGAAUGAUUUCCACAGUUUCCACAUUCUGGCCUCCCUACUUCCUUUUUUAUCUGCUUGAACCCGUCUACCCUCACUCGAGUGACUAGGUUGUGUACCCAUGAUGUCCUUGGGGGGCAUGUCAAGUCCCUGGCUGUACAUCAUAGGGAUCUUCAUAUUGUUUCCAUCUUCAUUGGAAAAUCCUUCGUACCCACCCGACACAUUUGACCCUACAUCGACGAAUGUCUCUAAGCAUGCUCCCAUAACUCGAUCUUUCUCGAACAUAUAGCUCAGGUCAUUGUAAUAGGAAAAAUGCUUAUUCAGGAAGCCCUUAGUGGCAAGAUGGCUCUGUGGAAAUUUUGAAAUAAAUCAUCAAUUUCAUUUUGUAUUAAAAGCAAAUAACAGUUCAUAGUAAAUUAAUUGGCUACCUUCACCCAAUUGUCGAA